rnacentral:rRNA from 1 species
AGCAGUCGCCGCGGUAAUACGGAGGGAGCUAGCGUUGUUCGGAAUUACUGGGCGUAAAGCGCACGUAGGCGGCUACUCAAGUCGGGGGUGAAAGCCCGGGGCUCAACCCCGGAACUGCCCUCGAAACUAGGUAGCUAGAAUCUUGGAGAGGUCAGUGGAAUUCCGAGUGUAGAGGUGAAAUUCGUAGAUAUUCGGAAGAACACCAGUGGCGAAGGCGGCGACCUGGUCCUUGACUGACGCUGAGGCGCGAAAGCGUGGGGAGCAAACAGGAUUAGAGACCCCAGUAGUCCCUGUCUCUUAUAC